AUUCCAUACAGUUGAAUGUAAUACAUUAUUACUACAGUUGUUACUCACUCACAUUGGUUGGUUAAAUGUAGACACGAUGAAGCAAGAUUUAGGAAUUAUUUAGUGGUCAGAAUAGUGGUGGUGAAGAGAAACCAACCAAGUGAAGUGGUUGUCGUAGCAGUAGGUAGUUCAGAUGGCCUUGUUCAUUCUUCAUACCCUGUAGAAGCCAUGCUAUUAGACUGCCCCAGACAGAAAGCAUGUGUGUGGUGGCGGCUGUGGAGCUCUGUCUACCUUCUAAUGGAAGAUUUUUAGAUUGUUACCUCUUUUAAAUUUUGUUUUGCUAGUCAUCGUAAACUCUAAAUGGUCAACAUGAAGUUAGCAGAGUAUGUUUUAACACGCACUUCAGGCUGAGUCACUACCUGGAUUAUCAGGAUAGAUGAAGCACUACAGUCUCUAUCAGAAAGUGGAAUAUGGGUAUUUAGAUUUCAUUUUAUGUAAUGAGCAUUUUUCUUGCUUAUGGGGAAAGAAAUAACAGAUUUCUUUUAUAGCUUUGUCUGCAUCCUCUCUGACAGAAAUUUUGAUAACCACUGAAAUGGUAGAUUAUGUGAGAUGCAAAUACUAAGUCGUCCACUGCCUUUUAAGAUGAGUGUACUUUGAGAACUGACUUAUGACUGUGUAAGAAAAGUCAGUUUCAUCUUUUUGGUUGCACAAAAACAAUUUUUGAAGCUUAAUAGAACCUACAUUAACUACCAAACCACAUUCACUCACUUGGCUAUUUUCUGAGAACCAAGCCAGUGUGGAAAGCAAGAGUAUAUUUUAGGCUCUAAUCUGCUGAGACAGGGACUACAGACUUGACAGCAUCAUAGAAAUGUAGGUUCCUGAUGUCACUAUGGGAAGUAGGAACUAUUAUUUACAUGUGAAAAUGUUUUUUUAUUACUUUGUAUUUAUAUGAAAUUUUAGAACUAAGGUCUUUCUCUAGAACUUGCUUUCUAUCUUUUGCUUUCCCCUAAAUGUUUGACUUGUGUUGGGUAGUUUUGAUUGAGAGGCUAGUAUGGAAAUGGGUCCAGUACCUACAGCAGCCCUUUGAAGAAGCAAAGCCUUUAUUUACCUCCACUGUCUUCUGUUUUAUUGUGAAAAAGGCUUCCUUUCAAUUUGUCUUUAAUGAAAGACUGGAGAUUGAUGUAUAGGAAAAUUGGAAACAAUAUUUUUAUUAUGCCAAAUUUUAGCCUACCUGUCAAUACUAUUUAAAAUUAUGUAAGUAUUUAGCAUAUGUCAUUUAUAACAUUAAAUUCUGAUUGUGUUUUGAAAAUACACUGGACCAAAAGUUUAUUUGUAAUUUGGAAUGUGAUUGCAUAUUAAGAAAACAUCUCAUUUUGAAACUUACCUGACACAGUAAGGAACAUACCAGUUCUAAACUCAGCUGGUCGUUAAACAUCACUCCUAACUCACCUCACACAUUAUUGUUUUGCAGUAGUGGAGAGAUGUCCAUAGGGGCUGCGGUUAUCAGUGUGAUUGUUGUGAGGCAAUAAAUGUUUAGAGAUGUGUCUCCAGAUCUAAUAGGAAAGUUUAGUAUUAACAAAUAUGCAAAGAAUUCUGAAUGCAAAUGGUUUGAAUUUUUAAGGCUUCCCUAAGAAGUUAUUCAGUGAGAAUUCAUUUUGAAGGUAUAAAACUGCUCUCUGUCUAUCACUCAUAGUUGGAUUUAUUUGUAUUCUGACAAAAGAGAAAAAAAUACAAUAAAAUAUUGGGCCACCUUGUAAGUGUGGUACAAGCUCUUCCCCUCCCUCCUUUCUCUCUUGCAUAUAGUAUUACAUGGUAGAAAAUGUUGGGAUAAAAUUCUUAGACUCACAGGAAGCAAAAUCACUGGCCUUUAAGAUUUGUGUUUCUCCACUCAUCUGUGUGUUGUGUGCACACAUCCCCGCUCUCACGCACUCAAGACUGAGUUUACAGUUCACCAUUGGUAGAGAUUCAUACUGUUUGGUUGACAGUUUCUUUAUGUCACCAGAGCUGCAGUUAUUGGUGACAUAAUAUGACAAUUUCCUAAAUUCUUUUUCAUAAUUAUUCCUUUAUGGAAUUUCUUCUACUUUUGCACAAUUUUGAGUUGUAGUUUUGAUCUUGAAAUAGUCAUAUAGGUUGUAAAAUAGGUUCGUGUAUUUUCGUUUGAGAACACUUUCCUCCUUAAAUUGUCCUGCCGAAAUGACUAUUUUUUAGGGAAAAUAGUUUUUUACAGCUACUAAACUGUAUUUGUUAUUUUUGUAUAUGCAUAACCAGGGUGGUGAAAUCACUAAUAUUCUAGGGAAUACUUUUGUUAUAUUUGAUUUUUUUCCUAUACAUUUAAGUUAUUACUUAAAAUUAUUGGUAGAAAUAAUGUUGUGAAGAUAGCAUAUAAGGAACACAGAAUAGAAAUCAUUUCUGAAGACAAAAAUCAGAACUGCUGCCAGUGCCAGGUAAUGGAAGCAGAAGGAGGAUUCGCAUUGUGCAAUUGCUUAAGCUAUGCACGGAGACACAUGUCUGUUCUCGUGAUGGGACAGGUUCUCUAGUAAGAUAGUUAGAUGGGACAAAAACGAUCUAAACUAUGAAAUGCAACGUAGGCGCCAUAUUGUAAAUUGUGCCAAGAUUAUGCAAAUUGUAGUUACUGAUCAAAGUUGUUUCUCUGUUAUUAUUUUAAAGGAAAUACUGAAUGUCAGAAAAUCUGUAAUAUGUUUUAUUUGACAGAUGUAAAUAAUGUAUACAGUCUCAUGUGGCAGAAUGUGAGGUAUUUAAAUUUUAGGUUUUUUUUCUUUAGAAGAAAAUGUUUAUAAGAAAAAAACCCUAAUAAAUACUUUUGUUUGGCCAUGA
rnacentral:lncRNA from 1 species